UGCUAAUCUGCUGACGAGCGGCGGACGGGUGAGUAAUGCAUAGGAAGUUGCCCAGUAGAGGGGGAUACCAGUUGGAAACGACUGUUAAUACCGCAUAACCUCUUCGGAGCAAAGCGGGGGACCUUCGGGCCUCGCGCUACUGGAUACGCCUAUGUGGGAUUAGCUAGUUGGUGAGGUAAUGGCUCACCAAGGCGACGAUCCCUAGCUGGUCUGAGAGGAUGAUCAGCCACACUGGGACUGAGACACGGCCCAGACUCC
rnacentral:rRNA from 1 species